GCAACAGGUUCCAAAAAGUUACUCCGAUUGCUUAUGGAAAACAGAGACCAGUCAGGAACUAUAAAUGACCAGCUCAGCAAUUCAAAACCAAGAGCUGUGAGGUCCAUUGUAUGUAACCUGGAAGAAAGAAAAAAGAGCCAACAGGACACUUAUUAUUCACUGAGGUCUGAGAAAGCAGCAACACAUGUGGAAUUCAAACCUUGGAAUUUCAAAGAAGACUGUCCUCAUGGAGUCUACCAACAAGCAAGGAAGGCU